rnacentral:lncRNA from 1 species
UGUGGAGAGCAGGAGUGCCCGCCCUGAGCAUUGUUCCUACAGAUUCUCCCUGAUGGAGCCUAGCCUGACAGUGACCUCACAUCAUGCUAGACAGCAGCUCAACAUCGCUCUGCAAGGAGAACGAUGGCAGAGGGCUGUAUGCAGGCUGUGGAGAGCAGGAGCGCUCAGCCUAAGCAUUGCUCCUCCAGAUUCUCGCUGAUGAAGCCUAGCCUGAGAGUGACCUCACAUCAUGCUGGCCAGCAGCUCAACGUCACUCUACAAGGAGGACGAUGCCAGGUGGAUCACACAAUGCGUCAAAGAGGGACUAAAUGUUACACUGGAUGCCAGCCGUGUGAGUGCAGGUUUCUUGGUGUGAAAAUGUACCUCAACUCUCCUGUGCUCGAAAUCCAGGGGCCUGGCCAUCUCACACUCUGACUAGGAAUUUCUCAAGUUGCUCCUGCCUGCAGUUCAUUAGGAGUGUGACAUGUCGGCCAUUCUACGUAGAAACCAAUGCUUCAACUCUUUGAUUCCGGGACUAGCUAAGUUUCAAUGCAAGGCUCUCCAAUUACCGUUGUGGCCCUGGCUCAUGACUGUGGCAAGUUCUGGCUCAGUGCAUAUUAUUCCAUGACUCUCCAAGCC